rnacentral:tRNA from 1 species
GGUUGUGGCUUAGUGGUAGAGCGCUUGCCUAGCGUGCAAGAGGCACCAAGUUCGAUCCCCAGAACCA